rnacentral:rRNA from 1 species
GAUGAACGCUGGCGGCGUGCCUAAUACAUGCAAGUCGAGCGAACAGACGAGGAGCUUGCUCCUCUGACGUUAGCGGCGGACGGGUGAGUAACACGUGGAUAACCUACCUAUAAGACUGGGAUAACUUCGGGAAACCGGAGCUAAUACCGGAUAAUAUAUUGAACCGCAUGGUUCAAUAGUGAAAGACGGUUUUGCUGUCACUUAUAGAUGGAUCCGCGCCGCAUUAGCUAGUUGGUAAGGUAACGGCGUACCAAGGCAACGAUGCGUAGCCGACCUGAGAGGGUGAUCGGCCACACUGGAACUGAGACACGGUCCAGACUCCUACGGGAGGCAGCAGUAGGGAAUCUUCCGCAAUGGGCGAAAGCUUGACGGAGCAACGCCGCGUGAGUGAUGAAGGUCUUCGGAUCGUAAAACUCUGUUAUUAGGGAAGAACAAAUGUGUAAGUAACUAUGCACGUCUUGACGGUACCUAAUCAGAAAGCCACGGCUAACUACGUG